AGAGAUGUUCUAGCAGGUGCGCUGGAAUUGAACCCAUGGGACAUCUAACAGCACUUCUUGGAGCCUCAGCCAGCCUCUCUAGAGGUACUAUCAAAGAAUAUACUGGGAAGAAAGAUGUGAGUCAAAAAGAUUCCAUCUACGAUACCACAUUACAUUCAGUUGCCAUCUUGCUUGGGCUUCUUGGACAGUAACUAUUUUUUAAACUUCUGCAUUCCUGGUGACAGUUUUGAGGAGUAUGUGCCACCUGGCCCACAGGAAAGUUACUCUUUUUCAGUAUGCAAGUGUUCUGAUUUCUCUACAUCCCCACCAAUACUUGUCUUUAAUUGGGUUGUGUUUUCUUAUUGUUGGGUUUUGUGAGGUUUUUGUACAUUUGGGAUAGAAGUACUUUAUCCAAUAUGUGAUAUUUGGCCUUUUUACCUUUUUAAUCAUAUCUUUUUCAGCAUAUGGUCUUUUACCUUGCUUUUUUAUUCACUCAACAAUAGGUCAUUAGCAUCUUUCCAUAUCAUUCUUCUGUAAUGUCACUUUUUAAUGGCUAUAAAUUACUGUAUU